CUUAUUAGUGCGUAGCGCUUUGGUGCACUCUUCUCUACCAAACGUCCCUGCGGUGUGGACUUCGCCGACAGGAGCUAUAACAGAACCGACGUACGUCGCACCAGUCGACCCUCCUGUAGACCCACUUGCAAACUGCAUGAUAGUGGAUAUGGAAGCAAUGGAAGAUCAGUCCGAGCGCGGCUGGGAUAUGUCAGCCCACUCGUGCAACUGUCCGAAAGGGCUGUCUGCUUGUCCAGUCCCGCAGGUGAUGUAUGACUGGAGUUCGUGGGUACGGAGUCUUUUCCAGGGGGGGAAACUCUGCCCCACUCAAACCACGGUGUUAAAACCAGUGGCGACCCAUUUCAGGAUCCCCAAGACUUCGCUCUGCGAUUCCCCUGUUAACACACAAAACAACGUCGAAUGGGAGCAGCUGCCUCUACCACCGUACUCAGCAGAAGACGUCGUUUUAGCAGAUGAAACGGUCCGCAGCGGGGCCUACCAGUGCAGACACGAUAUUCGCUAC